UGCUAGGUGUUGUUUUUUGAAUAUCAGUCAGAAUAGAAUAUUAUGCUCCCACAGUGGCGCUUUUUAAAAUUUCUGACGUAUUCCGACUCAUAACUCGCCUGCGAUCGGAUACUGUCAGCAAACCUCACAUCUCUUAAGCAACUUUUUGCAUUUCUGAACAUCUCUAUUCACCUUUUGAACAUCUUUGCCACUAAUCUGAGCAUUUUCCUACACAAAUGUCAUCUUCUGAAGAAAUGCCGUAUUACGCAAGUUGGGAUUCGUCAAGCUCUGAACCGUGGGUUGAGGAUGGUGAUGUCCAGCACCUUGUCCGUGCCCCCAAUGUGUACAAUCAGGAACAGGACUUCACUCCCAUCACUCAGGGCCAAGCGUAUUACAGCCUGCCUGCUCAGCCGUAUUACGCAAGUUGGGAUUCGUCGAGCUCUGGACCGUGGGUUGAGGAUGGUGAUGUCCAGCACGUUAUCCCUGCCCCCCACGUGUACCACCAGGAACAGCAAUUCACCCCCAGCACUCAGGGCCAGGUGUAUUUACUCUUGCCUGUCCAGCCGUAUUACGCAAGUUGUGAUUCGUCCAACUCUGGACCGUGGGUUGAGGCUGGUGACGUCCAACACGUUGUCUCUGCGCCCCACGUGUACCACCAGGAACAGGACUUCUCCCCCAGCACUCAGGGCCCAGCAUAUUACAGCCUGCCUGCCCAGUUGUAUUACCCCAGCUGGGACACUAUUUCCUGCUCUGGGCCGUGGGUUGAAGCUGGUGACCUGCCACAACCUAUCCCAUCCUCCCACGUGUACCACCAGGAGCAGAUAUUCACUCCCAGCACUCAUGGCCAGCAGAUAGAGCUUCCAGAGAUGGCUGCACUGUCAGAGGACCAAAAUUGCAGCUCCAUGCCUGAAUAUCUCGGGACCUAGUAGAAGACAUCAGGGCCACAGAUCCAUAGACCAAGUCUCUACUGAGUUAUAAUGGACUUUUAAAUAAGGAUUUACAUUGUCGAAACAAAGCUUACAAGAUUUUUAAUGCUUACAAUACUUUAUAUAUAUAUAUAUUUCUAAGAAGAACAUAUUGAAAUCAUUCUCAUGGCUGGAUCGGGAAGCUGUUGCAAGGUUGCGAUGGACUUUAACGGGAAACCUGGCAAGCACAUCACACACACGAACGAUAUUGUUGCCAAACUUAUUAAGAAAUUCAAAUCGACUGCGGACCAACCGAGAAGUGGACAUCCACAAACAUCCACUGACAAAGGCACAAUCGACGUGGUGCUGGCAAACAUAGUCCCUUAUGUAUGGAGACUUUUGGGACACCCUGUAUAUUCCCCAAGUAACUGAUUUACUACAAAUCAAGGACAGACAAACAAGCAAACAAAAUAAUAAUAAUAAAAUCUGGAUUAAAAAACAUCUGGUGUUUCUAAUGUUUUUAAAAAAAAAUAUUUUCUGAAACACUAUCCCAGAGGUUAAGAAUGAAAAUUCUUCAUUGUCUGAAUUGUGAGUAAUCAGGAUUAACAGUGUAUCAGAUGAGUGAAGCGCUC
ensembl:lncRNA